AACAUCGCGCACCUGCGGGAACCUGCGGAGGGAUCAUUACCGAGUGCGGGUCCUUCGGGGCCCAACCUCCCACCCGUGUCUACCGUACCUUGUUGCUUCGGCGGGCCCGCCGCAAGGCCGCCGGGGGGCGUCCCGCGCCCCCGGGCCCGUGCCCGCCGGAGACCCCUCGAACGCUGAUUCUUGAAAGCAUGUCGUCUGAGUCGCGUGAGAAAUCGUGAAAACUUUCAGCAACGGAUCUCA
rnacentral:misc_RNA from 1 species